UACGAGGUCGAGCGUUAAUCGGAAUUACUGGGCGGUAAAGCGUGCGCAGGCGGUUUGUUAAGCGAGAUGUGAAAGCCCCCGGGCUCAACCUGGGAAUUGCAUUUCGGAACUGGCGAACUAGGAGUCUUGUAGAGGGGGUAGAAUUCCAGGUGUAGCGGUGAAAUGCGUAGAGAUCUGGAGGAAUACCGGUGGCGAAGGCGGCCCCCUGGACAAAGACUGACGCUCAGGCACGAAAGCGUGGGGAGCAAACAGGAUUAGAUACCCGCGUAGU
rnacentral:rRNA from 1 species